rnacentral:lncRNA from 1 species
UUUUUUUUUUGUUAAUAACACUUUAUUGACUAAAUUGUCCAGGUUUGUGGAUGAGGAACCAUGUGGAGUGCUGGCUUCUUCUGCAAGUUUCUUCCACUGCAUGACCUUCAUUUUCAUUUUUUUUUACCCUUUUCUCCCUCCAUUAACUCUCUAACAAGCUUCUCUACUUUUGCUCUUUUAACAUCAUUACUAAUCUCCAUCCCAAUGCCCCAUUCAAAUCAAGCACACCAAGGCCUCGUUUGGCAGCUCGGACUGUACUGACUAUUUCAGUCGGAUAUAGGAAAUAAAUAAUCGUCGGAUAGGACUGACUAAAUUAAUCGGGCGUUUGGUGUUGCAUCGGAUUAAUUUAUACAUCGGAUAAUAGGUCGGACUAUAAUAAAUUUUUUAAAUAAUUUCACAGGAUAAGUGUUGUUAAAAUGAAAAAAAAAAAAAGGAAGAAAAACAAGUGAGAAAAAAAAAAUUAAACAUCAUUACACAGACAAAAAUUAACAAAUAAAAAUAAAAAAGGAAGAGAAAAAAACCCAGAUCUCUUCCCAGUUCCCAGUCGUGUCUUCCUAUCUACACCAUCUUCCCCACACAUCAAUUCCCACCCUCCCAUAUGAACCCACUUCCUCAUUUCUUCAAAUCUCCCAAAACCCACAUCGAUUCACCAACCAAAAAAAAAAAAAAAAAAUUCCCAGAAAUUAAAUAUUUUCAAUGCUAAUAAACCAAAAUUUAUCAUCGGAGCCUAGCUCCCUUCCUUGUCGGAGCCCAGCUCCCUUCCUCCUCCUCGUCCUUCUCGUUGGAGCCUAGAUCGGAAAAUUUGAAUCAUCAUCUUCCUCCUUCAAUCCACGGAAGUAUUGUUGUUCUGUCAGAGAUCGAAGGCGAACGGAUGAGGUGGGAGGUGUGUGUGUGUGUGAAGGAGGAGGGAGGAGGGAGGAGGUAGGAACAGAAAGAAAAAAAGAAGAUGACAAAGAUGAACUUGAGAUCCAGACGAGAGAGAGCAGGCGGGUGAGAUAGUUGAAGGAGAGUCAUGCGAGAGAGGAACGAAGUGAACAAGAGAAAUCUCACCUGACUAAAUAAUACAGAGGUUUUGGACGGGAUUCAUAAGCGGGUGGGAGGGGUAUAAAAUAAGUGGGGCCGGAUUAAAUAAUCCGGUGCUUAUUUAAUACGAAGCUCACCAAACAUUCGUUUCGUAUUAUUAAUACUAUCCGAUGGUCUUAUACGGUGUGCCAAACGAGGCC